AGAGUUUGGUCCUGGCUCAGGAUGAACGCUGGCGGCGUGGAUAAGGCAUGCAAGUCGAACGCUCGAGUUUACUCGAGAGUGGCGAACGGGUUAGUAACGCGUGGAUAACCAACCUUAAAGUCGGGCAUAGCCCGGAGAAAUCCGGGGUAAUUCCCGAUAGUCCCAAAUGUUUUUUAGCAUUUGGGUAAAGUUUUUCGCUUUAAGAUGGGUCCGCGUUCUAUCAGCUUGUUGGUGAGGUAAUGGCUCACCAAGGCGAUGACGGAUAGGGGGCGUGAGAGCGCGAUCCCCAACAAUAGCACUGCGACACGGGCUAUACACCUACGGGUGGCUGCAGUCGAGAAUCUUUCGCAAUGGGGGAAACCCUGACGAAGCGACGCCGCGUGCGGGAAGACGAUCUUACGAUUGUAAACCGCUUUUAUAGAAGAGGAACUUUUGUGACAGUACUCUAUGAAUAAGGGGGGGCUAACUCUGUGCCAGCAGCAGCGGUAAUACAGAGCCCUCAAGCGUUAUCCGGAUUUACUGGGCGUAAAGAGUCUUAAGGCUGUUUAGAAAGUCUCGAGUUAAAUCCUUGGAGCUCAACUUCAAGGCUGCUUGGGAUACUUCUUUACUUGAGGAUGUCAGAGGUUAGUGGAACAUACGGUGUAGGGGUGGAAUCCGUUGAUAUCGUGUGGAACACCAAAAGCGAAGGCAACUAACUGGGGCAGUCCUGACGCUGAUUGACGAAAGCUAGGGGAGUGAAGAGGAUUAGAUACCCUCGUAAUCCUAGCUGUAAACGUUGGACACUGGCUGGUGGAAGUAUCGACCCUUUCACUGGCGAAGCUAACGCGUUAAGUGUCCCGCCUGGGAAGUACGCGCGCAAGCGUGAAACUCAAAGGAAUAGACGGGGAUCUACACAAGCGGUGGAUCAUGUGGCUUAAUUCGAUGUUAAGCGAAGAACCUCACCAGGACUUGACAUGCUAACUAACCCGUAGAGAAAUUUACGGUCCCGCAAGGAAGUUAGCACAGGUGCUGCAUGGUUAUCGUCAGCAGGUGCCGUGAGGUGCAGCCUUAAUUGGUGAAACCUGCGUAACCCUUAUCCUAUGUUUUAUUUGUCAUGGGAGACUGCCAGGGACAACCUGGAGGAAGGCGGGGACGACGCUAAAUCAGCAUGGCCCUUACGUCCUGGGCAGCACACAUGAUACAAUGGCCGAUACAAUGGGUUGCCAAGCGGUAACGCGGAGCCAAUCCCACCAAGAUCGGUCUCAGUUCGGAUCGAGGUCUGCAACUCGACCUCGUGAAGUUGGAAUCGCUAGUAAUCGCGGAUCAGAUACGCCGCGAUGAAUAUGUCACUGGAUCUUGUACUCACCGCCCGUCACGCCAGAGAAGCUGGGAACACCCGAAGCGCCUCUUUAUGGGGUUCGAAGGUGGAUUCAGUAACUAGGGCGAAGUCGUAACAAGGCA
rnacentral:rRNA from 1 species